rnacentral:rRNA from 1 species
UCUGGUCUUGGGACACUGUCAGGUGGGCAGUUUGACUGGGGCGGUCGCCUCCCAAAAGGUAACGGAGGCGCUCAAAGGUUCUCUCAGUACGGUCGGAAAUCGUACGUAGAGUGUAAAGACAAAAGAGAGCUUGAUUGCAAGACAUACAGGUCGAGCAAGGAUGAAAAUCGGACUUAGUGAUCCGGUGGUUCUGCGUGGAAGGGCCAUCGCUCAACGGAUAAAAGCUACCCUGGGGAUAACAGGCUUAUCUCCCCCAAGAGUCCACAUCGACGGGGAGGUUUGGCACCUCGAUGUCGGCUCAUCACAUCCUGGGGCUGUAGUAGGUCCCAAGGGUUGGGCUGUUCGCCCAUUAAAGUGGUACGCGAGCUGGGUUCAGAACGUCGUGAGACAGUUCGGUCCCUAUCCGUCGCAGGCGUAGGAAAUUUGAGAAGACCUGUCCUUAGUACGAGAGGACCGGGAUGGACGUACCUCUGGUGUACCAGUUGUCCUGCCAAGGGCAUGGCUGGGUAGCUAUGUACGGAAUGGAUAAGCGCUGAAAGCAUCUAAGCGCGAAGCCAACUUCAAGAUAAGAUUUCCCACCGCAAGGGUAAGACCCCAGAAAGACUAUCUGGUUGAUAGGUCGAAGGUGUAAGUGUAGCAAUGUAUUUAGCUUAUCGAUACUAAUAGGUCGAGGACUUGACCAAUAUU